GAAUAUUAGUCAAUGCUCGAAAGAGUGAACUAGCUAACUGAAAUCAAUUAAAAAAAUUGAUAACAUAAGGGAAAAUAAUGAUAUUACCUUAUUAUUAGUGUCGUCCAAAACUGGUGCCAGAAGACUCGGUAAGGCCAGAGACACAAACGUUAAUCGUCUUAAUCAGGCGUAAAGGGUUUGUAGGCGGCUUUAAAUUUACUUUUACUUAAAAAAAGUAAAGAAUAAAAGCUAGAAUCAAAUAGAGGAUAGAUUAAAGAAUGCUUAGAGUAGGUCUGAUAUCCUUAGAUACUAAGUAGAAUAUUAAAGGCGAAAGCUUUUUUCCAUUAAGGAUUGACGCUCAGAAACGAAGGUGAGGAUAGGAAAUAGGAUUAGAUACCCGAAAUACCCCUCUCUGUCAACGAUGAAUGGUAGUUAUUAGUAAAAAUUUAUUAAUGGCGAUGUUAACACGAUAACCAUUCCGCCUUGUGAGUACAACUGCAAAGUUGAAAACAAAAAAAUUAGUCGGUUUCGGAGCAAACGAAGUGAAGCAUGUUAUUUAAUUC
rnacentral:rRNA from 1 species